GAUGAACGCUGGCGGCGUGCCUAAUACAUGCAAGUCGAGCGAACAGACGAGGAGCUUGCUCCUCUGACGUUAGCGGCGGACGGGUGAGUAACACGUGGAUAACCUACCUAUAAGACUGGGAUAACUUCGGGAAACCGGAGCUAAUACCGGAUAAUAUAUUGAACCGCAUGGUUCAAUAGUGAAAGACGGUUUUGCUGUCACUUAUAGAUGGAUCCGCGCCGCAUUAGCUAGUUGGUAAGGUAACGGCUUACCAAGGCAACGAUGCGUAGCCGACCUGAGAGGGUGAUCGGCCACAUUGGAACUGAGACACGGUCCAGACUCCUACGGGAGGCAGCAGUAGGGAAUCUUCCGCAAUGGGCGAAAGCCUGACGGAGCAACGCCGCGUGAGUGAUGAAGGUCUUCGGAUCGUAAAACUCUGUUAUUAGGGAAGAGCAAAUGUGUAAGUAACUAUGCACGUCUUGACGGUACCUAAUCAGAAAGCCACGGCUAACUACGUG
rnacentral:rRNA from 1 species